GACGAACGCUGGCGGCGUGCUUAACACAUGCAAGUCGAACGGAAAGGCCCCUUCGGGGGUACUCGAGUGGCGAACGGGUGAGUAACACGUGAGUAACCUGCCCUUGACUUCGGGAUAACUUCAGGAAACUGGGGCUAAUACCGGAUAGGAAUCCUUGCUGCAUGGUGGGGGUUGGAAAGCUUCGGCGGUUUUGGAUGGACUCGCGGCUUAUCAGCUUGUUGGUGGGGUAGUGGCUUACCAAGGCUUUGACGGGUAGCCGGCCUGAGAGGGCGACCGGCCACAUUGGGACUGAGAUACGGCCCAGACUCCUACGGGAGGCAGCAGUGGGGAAUAUUGCACAAUGGGCGGGAGCCUGAUGCAGCAACGCCGCGGGCGGGAUGACGGCCUUCGGGUUGGAAACCGCUUUCAGCAGGGGCGAAGCUUGUGGUGACGGUACCUGCAGAAGAAGCACCGGCUAACUACGUG
rnacentral:rRNA from 1 species